GAAGAAAAACAACAUUUAAGUUUUAUUCUAGAGUAUCAUGAGACUCAUAAGAUACCCUAGGUCUUCGGGGCUUCCUCUUCGGUGAGUCCCUGCUGGCUUUCUGAAAACAACAACAAGGGAUCCCCUGAGUACGAAGUACUCAGCAAGUCUUACCCGACUAACCAAUAUAAUAGUUUUCUUUGGAAUGCAUGUCAGCCUUUGGGUGUGCUUGGUUGGUACAAUUUUUGCCGAAAAGCUUACUACGAGUGAGGCCUUAGUUUUGUCUUUUAGUUUAGUUAAGUUGUUACCUAACCAUUCUAGAUGGUAACAGAAGUAAAAGCAAUCACAGCUGUUGAUUCAUACAGUACUUGGCAACAGAAAAUUUUAUAUCACAUGAGUUCAUGCUACGAAGCUCAACAGUGAUCAAGUGCAUUCAUAACCGAGAAUUGCGGCGAUCCGGAUCAAUUUACAUCCUGCAGGAGAGUACCCCGAUCACCAGCAUUAUACGACUGUCCAGGUCGUACUAGCAACCUCUCGAUUAGUAAAGUCAAUGAUUAGGAACACAACUACCCGGACCCAGGGAUGCACCCCCACAUGGGACCCCACGUCUGGCCUGAUCCCCAUGUGAGUUUCAGGCUACACCCCUGCCAAUCUCCAGCACGUCAAAUGCGGGUACGAAGCAUUCCUGAUCAUAGAAUUUACUAACCUACUGGGCUUUACUGGUCCCAUACCCAGUAAGUGAUCAGAUGUUAUCACUUGAUCAGCAGUUAAGACACGGCCCGGUCCUUAAGCAGAUUAAUAAGCAGACAGAACUACAUCUCUAGCUUUUGUCUGGUUCUAUACUUCAAACUAUCUUUCCUAAACAGCAUGUAUGAUCAAGAGUUUUCCCUAAGGUUGGUAAACCAAGCAUGUAAGCGAGUAAGCAAUUCUAGACUUGGGUAGUUUCUAGGAUUUGAACAAGUGGCAAAGAUGUCCUUAAUUCAAGGCAUGAUCAUACACAAGAAUAGGUUUCAUCCAACUCCUAGACCUAGUGCAUACAAUAACCAAUUAACCUAUAACUAGUCACAUGAAAUAACGACUCCAAAAUAGAUAGGUAUAAAUGCACCGGGGCUUGCCUGGGAUCAACAAGGUUAGUUCUUCGGAAAACUUGUUUAUGGAAAGAGGCACUGCGAAUGCUGUCCAUCUCCAGCUGAAAUCCAUGAAUUCCCACUCCAGGAGUUGUGACGUCUACGAUUCAGUAUAUGCAAGAGUUAGAGAUGCAAACUUUUGAAUACAAGACUAUACAACUUUCCUUCAUGAUAAAGUUGCAAGCCAACAAGGACUAGACAAUUUAUCAUGAUAAAGUUGCAAGCCAACACACAAAAACCCUAAAGAUUAACCCACCAUUUUUAUUUCCUUUACUAAACCUACCUUAGACCUUUUUAUUUAUUUUUAAAAGCAUUAUAAUAAUUUUCUAAUCUCAAAAACCUAAUUCCUAUGAAUUAAUAAUGAUUUGUGGAUAAUAAAGCAUUUUUCAAAUUUUUAUACAUUUAAUAAAGUUUAAGCAUUUAUUUAAAUACCUUAGAUAAAAAGGCAUUAAAUAAAUACCUAAAUUUUUAUUAUUUUUCCUAGGGUUUAAGAAUUUAAUGCAUAAAGGAAAAUAAAACAAUCCUAAUAAAAUUGGUUUCACUAAUUUUGGAUACUUCUAGAAUUUCCUGUGAAUUAAAUGGUGAAAAUAGCAUUUAAUCUAUUUAUCUAAUAAAAGAAAACCUAAGGUUUAAAUAAAACCCCCGGCCCAAACUUUUCUCACCCGACUUGCUUCUACCCACUAUCACUUCCACCUAGGGCCCAUCCGGUCUCCUAUUCUUCUUCUUCUUUUCUUCACUAGCACGUGGGGCCCACGACCGAAACCUUCUCUUGGGCCGGUUCCCCCUUCUCUCUUCUUUCUCAAACCCGGCCGGCCCACUUUCUUUUCUUUUUCACUUCUACCUGGUCUGCACGGCCCAAGGAACAUGACCGGCCCACCUUUUCCUUUCUUGCGCCUGCCUCCCUCUCCUUUUAUGCCGCAUGGCCAGCUGGGCCGGCGCCUCUCUUUCGGCCCAAAAUGGCUGCCUGUCCUUCUCUUUUUCUCCCGCUCCACCUGGGCCUCCCCCACCGAAACUUGGACUCCUGGCCCAAGUUCAUCAACCGGCCUGUCUCCUUCUCCCCUUGGCCCACUACGGACGGCGGCCCCUCUUUUCUUUCUCCCUUUUCUUCUAUGCCGCACAGGCUUAGCUGGGCCGGCGCCUUUUUCCUGGCCCAUGACGGACGGCUGGCCUGCUUCCUUCUCCCCUCCUUCUUUUGCACUGCGUGGCCAACUGGGCCGUCGCCUCCCCUGGCCCAAAAACGGUGGCCGGUUCUUAUUCUUCUCCUUUUCUUCCUCCUGUGCGCAUGGCGUCUUCUUCCUUGCGCCAAAACAGGGGUGCGCACGGGACCGGCGGGGGCUCGCCGGCUGGCGGCUCGCCGGCGGCCGAGAGGGACGGGGUGGCGGCGCCCCAGGUCAGGCGCGCCCGCGCCCACCGUCAGCUCGCCGGGAGGCGGCCCGAGCCGGCCCCUCCACGGGCGGCUGCGGCUUGGCCAACCGCCGGCCAUGGCGGCGCACGGAGGCGGCACAAGGACAACCGGCGGCGCACUCUACGGCAUCCACAUGACCCAAACACUCUCUAAACUCGACCAAAAGAGUGAAAGAAGGGGCGGCGCGGAGGACUCACCGGUGGACAGUAGUAGCGGCGGUAAACCGGAGAUGCGGC
rnacentral:lncRNA from 1 species